UACGUAGGGGGCAAGCGUUGUCCGGAAUUAUUGGGCGUAAAGAGCGCGUAGGCGGUCCGAUAAGUCGGCUGUGAAAGUCAGGGGCUCAACCCGUGGAAGCCGGCCGAUACUGUCGGACUAGAGUCCGGAAGAGGCAAGUGGAAUUCCCGGUGUAGCGGUGAAAUGCGCAGAUAUCGGGAGGAACACCAAUGGCGAAGGCAGCUUGCUGGGACGGUACUGACGCUCAUGCACGAAAGCGUGGGGAGCAAACAGG
rnacentral:rRNA from 1 species